rnacentral:rRNA from 1 species
CCUACGGGAGGCAGCAGUGAGGAAUAUUGGUCAAUGGACGAGAGUCUGAACCAACCAAGUAGCGUGAAGGAUGACUGCCCUAUGGGUUGUAAACCUCUUUUAUAUGGGAAUAAAAUGUUCCACGUGUGGGAUUUUGUAUGUACCAUAUGAAUAAGGAUCGGCUAACUCCGUGCCAGCAGCCGCGGUAAUACGGAGGAUCCGAGCGUUAUCCGGAUUUAUUGGGUUUAAAGGGAGCGUAGGUGGAUUGUUAAGUCAGUUGUGAAAGUUUGCGGCUCAACCGUAAAAUUGCAGUUGAAACUGGCAGUCUUGAGUACAGUAGAGGUGGGCGGAAUUCGUGGUGUAGCGGUGAAAUGCUUAGAUAUCACGAAGAACUCCGAUUGCGAAGGCAGUUCACUGGACUGCAACUGACACUGAGGCUCGAAAGUGUGGGUAUCAAACAGGAUUAGAUACCCGAGUAGUC